GUUGAAUACCCACAUCAGCAAAUCCAAAGAAUGUUAUCGGCCUAACAAAAGUACAUUCCAAUAAUUUGGGACACCCUUAUGCUAAAAAAUUAUUUAGUGCUCAUUUGAAAUUCAACUAUAAAUGGGUGUC
rnacentral:miRNA from 1 species